rnacentral:rRNA from 1 species
AACGAACGCUGGCGGCGUGCUUAACACAUGCAAGUCGAACGCAUUGAGCCUUUCGGGGCGAAAGUGAGUGGCAGACGGGUGAGGAACACGUGGGAACAUACCUUGUAGUGGGGGAUAACGAUUGGAAACGAUCGCUAAUACCGCAUAAGCCCUAAGGGGGAAAGAAGCGAUUUGCUAUAAGAGUGGCCCGCGUUAGAUUAGGUAGUUGGUGGGGUAAAGGCCUACCAAGCCUGUGAUCUAUAGCUGAUUUGAGAGGAUGAACAGCCACACUGGGACUGAGACACGGCCCAGACUCCUACGGGAGGCAGCAGUGGGGAAUAUUGGACAAUGGGGGAAACCCUGAUCCAGCAACGCCGCGUGAAUGAUGAAGGCCUUCGGGUUGUAAAGUUCUUUUACCUGAGAAGAUAAUGACGGUAUCAGGGGAAAAAGCACCGGCUAACUUCGUGCCAGCAGCCGCGGUAA